rnacentral:tRNA from 1 species
GGAGAGAUGGCUGAGCUGGUCUAAGGCGCACGACUGGAAAUCGUGUACGGACUAAUAAUUCGUCGGGGGUUCGAAUCCCCCUCUCUCCGCCA